rnacentral:rRNA from 1 species
AUUGAACGCUGGCGGCAGGCCUAACACAUGCAAGUCGAGCGGAUGAAGGGAGCUUUCUCCUGGAUUCAGCGUCGCGCGGGGGAGUAAUGCCUAUGAAUCUCCCUGGUUGUAGGGGAUAACAUCCUGAAACGGGCGCUAAUACUGCAUACGACCUGAUGGAGAAAGAUGGGGGUCGUCGGAACUCAUGCUAUCAGAUGAGCGUAGGCCGGAUUGGCUAGUUGGUGGGGUAAAGGCCUACCAAGGCGACGAUCCGUAACUGGUCUGAGAGGAUGAUCAGUCACACGGGAACUGAGACACGGUCCAUACUACUAAGGGAGGCCGCAGUGGGGAAUAUUGGACAAUGGGCGAGAGCAUUGUCCAGCCAUGCCGAGUGUGUGACGAAGGUCUUCGGAUUGUAAAGAACUUCAAGUUGGGGGAAAGCGCAGUAAGUUAAUACCUUGCUGUAUUGACGUUAACAACAGAAUAAGCACCGGCUAACUUCGUG